CGNCCGCAAGGUUGAAACUCAAAGGAAUUGACGGGGGGCCCGCACAAGCNNNNNGAGUAUGUGGUUUAAUUCGACGCAACGCGAAGAACCUUACCAGGUCUUGACAUUGAUGGACAGAACUAGAGAUAGUUCCUCUUCUUCGGAAGCCAGAAAACAGGUGGUGCACGGUUGUCGUCAGCUCGUGUCGUGAGAUGUUGGGUUAAGUCCCGCAACGAGCGCAACCCCUAUCUUAUGUNNCCAGCACGUAAAGGUGGGAACUCAUGAGAGACUGCCGCAGACAAUGCGGAGGAAGGCGGGGAUGACGUCAAAUCAUCAUGCCCCUUAUGACCUGGGCUACACACGUACUACAAUGGGAGUUAAUAGACGGAAGCGAGAUCGCGAGAUGGAGCAAACCCGAGAAACACUCUCUCAGUUCGGAUCGUAGGCUGCAACUCGCCUACGUGAAGUCGGAAUCGCUAGUAAUCGCAGGUCAGCAUACUGCGGUGAAUACGUUCCCGGGCCUUGUACACACCGCCCGUCACACCACGAAAGUCGGAAGUGCCCAAAGCCGGUGGGGUAACCUUCGGGAGCCANCCGU
rnacentral:rRNA from 1 species